AGCGGGGAGCAAGGCCUGCGGGGAGGCGCAGGAUGGACGCGUUGGCUGUCAUGAUGUAGGACCUCCUGACCUAGAACCAUGCCCGGCGCAGGGAGAACAACGAGCUUACGGACCGGGUGCGGGGGCUGCUGUGCGAGAAAGCCUACCUGCUGGCCCGGGAGCGUUCGCCGGCCCACCUGGUGGCUUUCCCUGGACGUUUAACGGCGACUCCGCCCGGCCUCCCGACUUUUUGAUGCAGGCGUUCUCUUACAUGACUUUCUUCGAGGCUAGAUUCUCGAAAGACAUCCUGAAGGUGGCUUUCUUAAUUAGCUGCCUCACCGGCUGGCGGAGCAGUUCGUAGUCGCCUACAUCGAGAGGGAGAGCCCCGUCCUGGCUCAGUACUGGGGCUUCGUGGACGCGCUGUAGCGGGUCUUCGCCGUCGUGGGUAGGAAACAGUCGGGCCGGAUCCCCGGUGUCUGGGGAGCGGCUGCCGGCCGGGCCCGCGCGAGCCGCUUCACUCCUACAAGCCCGGCUCACUAGUUCCAAGCUGCUGGACUUUGACCCUCGCUGGGAAGCUUGAUCGCCGCCUGUUCUCGCCAAUCUCUAUGCCUUUGCACUGCCCAGCAACCCGGUCACUGCCCAGGACCUGUUAAAAGUUGAAUGGACCUCCCAGAAUCACGCCGCUGCCACCGCCGUUUCUAGAGACGGCUUUUGGCCACCUUUGAGAAUCAGGGUCAAACUUGGAAGGGCCUGCAUUUGUCACACUUCCUCGGACACUAAUUUGGAUAGUUCAGGCCCAGAGACGGCUUCCCGGGUUAGUGUGCCUGACAACACUGAAGAAAAAUUGUGACAUUUUCCUUCCCCAGAAUUACUUCGUUUUAUACAUUUCACUUCUCUUCUGAAAUCACAGCAAUGCCAGUUUGCGCCUUUUGGUCUGAGGAACGCAGGCCCUGGCCACUACCAGGAAAAAAACCUUCUGGAUUUCAGCUUUGGCAAGCUUCCUCUGUUUCUGAGACACCUCCAUCACCUGGGUUACAAUCCCAUCCAUGAUUUUCCCCAUCUCCAGGCAUUUUUCAUGGAAAGCUCCUCAUGCUUUUUAAUUCCAGUUUAUCCAUUUGUGUGGCUUUAACCUCCACAUCCAGGUCUUUCUGGCUAAACUGCAGUAUAUCCACAAUGGGGCCAAUGGACACAUAAGGGAGGCCCUAUCACAGGAACACGAACACCCGGAGUCGCUAGAAAUCAGAUUCCACCGGCUUUGCUUCAGGCCGACUUCCUAAGGAAGGCAUGGUAGCAUCACAGAUGCUGUUUGUCUCAGUUUCCUGAGAAGCCAGUUUCUUAGAGCUGUCAUUCAAGAGUGGGUCAAAUUUGAGAUAUAAAAACCUUUCUCAAGGUAGACUCUUUGGCCCCUAUGCCUAGUAUGUCAGCUGGGCCUCUGAAGCUCUCCUCUUUGAGGUCCUGGCAGGCUCUGGCCCCUGUUGAGAAGGGGAAGCAGUCAUGUGAACUCAUGUGCUGGAAGAAUCCACUCUACCCCUUCCCUGGCUUCUCUGCUGCAAUUUUUGUCUUUAAACGUAUUUUCAGAUCCUUUGCACAUGGCCUGCUAUCAACAAUCCUCUACAAUGAUUCUCAGCAUCACCUAGGGAGCUUAUGUAAAAUCUCAAAUUCCUGGGCCCUAUCCCCAGAGUUUCUUAUCAAGUAAGUCUGCAUUGGGAUCUGAGGAUUUGCAUCUCUAACAAAAAUUCCUAGGCGAUGCUCACACUGUUGGUGUAAGGUUUCCUUGAUGGAGAACUAUCAAAGCAGUCAAAGCUAUCAAAAUAAAAAAGAAUUCUGAUUGGGUGCAGUGGCUCACACCUGUCAUUCCAGCACUUUGAGAGGCCAAGGUGGGCAGAUCACAUGAGGCCAGGAGUUCAAGACCAGCCUGGCCAACAUGGCAGAAACCCCAUCUCUACUAAAAAUACCAAAAUUAGCCGGGCAUGGUGGAACACACCUGCAAUCCCAGCUACUCGGGAGGCUGAGGCAAGAGAAUCGCUUGAACCUGGGAGGCAGAAGUUGCAGUGAAACAAGUUGGUGCCAAUGCAUUCCAGCCUGGAUGAUGGAGCGAGACUCUGUCUCAAGAAAAAAAAAACAAAAACAAAAACAGAACUCUGCCUCAUAGCGUCUUUUAAGUUAUACACUGGACCUAUCCUUUCCUCACUGACAGACAUUUUAAAAAUUUUUUGGUAAGGCCUAGUUCAUAUAAAAUGUAAUCCAAGCCAAAAGUUAACAAGAAUAAGGGGAGGAAAGGGGACUCCAAUAGCAGAGAAAGGUAUUUACCUGGGAUAUACACUGCAAGAAAAUCAAAGCUAUAAGAAACGUCCAUGAAUAGUAGCCAUAAGGCAUCAGAGUGAUAAAAUUCCUGUCCCUAGGAGGGAAUAUUGGAGUUUGCCAGAGAAACAGAAUGAGAGAGACAGAGAGGUUUAUUGUAGGAAUUGGCUCAUAUGAUUACGGAGGCUGAGAAGACCCACGAUCUGCCAUCUGCAAGCUGGAGAAUCAGGAAAGCUGGAGGUGUAAUUCAGUCAAGUCCAAUGGCCAGAGAAGCAAGUGUACUGAUAUCCAAGAGCAGGAGAAAAUAGAUGUCCCAGAACAAGCAGAGAGGCUGAUUUUGUCCUUCCUCUGCCUUUUUGUUUCAUAUGGGGCACUGAAUGGACUGAUGCCCAUCCACAUUAGUGAGGGUGGAUCUUCUUUACUCAGUCUACCAGUAGAAAUGUCAAUGACUUCCAGAAACACCCUCACCAACACACGUGGAAAUAAUGUUUUACCAGGUAUCUGGGCAUCCCUUGGUUCACUCAAGUUGACACAAAAUUAACCAUCACAGAAGGAGACUGGCCUUACUCUGAAAUUAGGAAACUAAAGAAGUGACCAGAAUGGAGACUAGGUAGAGACAACUAGUUCUCUACCAAACAUGUACAGUUAUUCGUUGGUAUCUGAAGGGGAUUGGUUCCAGGAACUCUCAGGGAUACCAAAAUCUGCAGGUGCUCAAGUCAUUUAUAUAAAAUAUUACAGUAUUUGCAUAUAACCUUUGCACAUCUUCCAUAUACUUUAAAUCAUCUCUACAUUACUUAUAAUAAUGAAUGUGUAAAUGCUAUGAAAAUAGUUACUACACUAUUGUUUAUUUGUAUUUUUAUUGAAUUGUUUUGGGGUGGGGGGCAGCUGUAUCUUUCUUAGUAAUAGAACCCCUGGUUUUAGCUGGGCACAUGACUGCCCUCAAUAAAGAUUAAAGUACCCCAGCCUUCCUUGAGAUUGUGGCCAUGUGACUGAACUUUAGACAGUGAGAUAUAAGCAGAUAUCUUCUGUGGCAGUGUUAGGAAACUAUUAAAGACAGUAAGAACAUUGCCCUUUGCCUUCUUUUUCCUUUCUUCAUUUUUCUGCCUGGAAUGCAAAUGUGAUGGCUAACACCCUAGCAGCCAUUUUAGAUUAUGAAGAUGAGAGUCACUCCCCAGGAAGGGUGGACCUGAAAGCUGGAUUCUAGAUGUGGAAUGACAAUACCAGCCCUGGACUACCUACCUGUAGGCUGUGUGUGUGUGUGUGUGAUUGACAGAGAGAGAGAGAGAUAGAUACCACAAGUAACACAAAGCAUCAUACCUGGGACUGGGAAGGUUAAUGUUUAAACAUUUUAAAUGUGGCAUUGGUUUGUUGAAGACAGUCAAGCAGUAGGUGCUGCAGGCUUUGUUGAGGCUAGAAAGCUGUUGGUCUUUAUUAGGUGAUGGCAAAACAAUGGAUCACAUUUUCAUGUGCUGUGUCUUGGGAGGCAAAUGAUGAGAAUGUAGGAUUGGGGAAAAUGGUAAGGAAAAUCCAAAAUGUUCAUGUUUUCUAACCCCUUCUUGCCAAUCUUAAAAGAAGGACAAACAGGCUAGAUUAAGCAAGUCUACAGUUACAAUUGGAAGGAAACACAGCCGUACUAAGGAAGUACUCUGUCUGUGGCCUGCAGUCUAGUUUGACUAGGUCCUGUAUUUGAGCUUUGAAAGAGUAAAGAAUACAAGUGCUCGUAUACCCCUGAAGUAGUUACCAGCAGUGACUGCAAGGAGGUAAUCUUAUGGGAUGAAACUAUAACUCUGUAUUAACCAUCAUAUAUAGCAUAUAUGUGUAUAUGUAUGUGUGUGUGUGUAUAUGUGUAUAUAAAUAUAUGUGUGUGUAUAUACACACAUGUACACACCCUACAACCCAGUGAUUUCAAAAAAUUAAACAUUUGUUUAGCUCAUGAAUCUGUGGGUUGGGUGAACAUUUCUAUUGGUCUUGGCUGGGCUCACCUGUACCCAGUCAGCUGCAGGGUCUAGCUCUUCUUAUCUUGGCUGGGAUCUCACACAUGUCUAGGAUCAGCUGCUUUACUAGUCUAGGAUUGUCUUGGCUGAGACAGGUGGACUACUCAGUUCUCCUCCACUGCCUUAUCCUUCAGCUGGCCAGCCCAGAAAUGUUGCCAUGUUUACAGCAUAAGAGCAAGCAAGAAAGAAUAAUAUGCAACCACUUUUCCAAGCCUAAGGUGAAAGGGCGGGCAGAACCUGUGGUGUUAGGAGGCAACUCAUACCAGCCCAUGGGUCUACCGUUUAAUUUUCAGAAAUUUGGCAAGCUGAUUGUUAACACAGCUGUUGUUUAAUUUAUGUACUUGUAAUUAAAUAAUUUACAUUAAAACAAAGAUAAUAGGUACUCAAA
rnacentral:lncRNA from 1 species